rnacentral:rRNA from 1 species
CAUGCAAGUCGAGCGGGGGAAGGUAGCUUGCUACUGGACCUAGCGGCGGACGGGUGAGUAAUGCUUAGGAAUCUGCCUAUUAGUGGGGGACAACAUCUCGAAAGGGAUGCUAAUACCGCAUACGUCCUACGGGAGAAAGCAGGGGAUCUUCGGACCUUGCGCUAAUAGAUGAGCCUAAGUCGGAUUAGCUAGUUGGUGGGGUAAAGGCCUACCAAGGCGACGAUCUGUAGCGGGUCUGAGAGGAUGAUCCGCCACACUGGGACUGAGACACGGCCCAGACUCCUACGGGAGGCAGCAGUGGGGAAUAUUGGACAAUGGGGGGAACCCUGAUCCAGCCAUGCCGCGUGUGUGAAGAAGGCCUUAUGGUUGUAAAGCACUUUAAGCGAGGAGGAGGCUACUUUAGUUAAUACCUAGAGAUAGUGGACGUUACUCGCAGAAUAAGCACCGGCUAACUCUGUGCCAGCAGCCGCGGUAAUACAGAGGGUGCGAGCGUUAAUCGGAUUUACUGGGCGUAAAGCGUGCGUAGGCGGCUUAUUAAGUCGGAUGUGAAAUCCCCGAGCUUAACUUGGGAAUUGCAUUCGAUACUGGUGAGCUAGAGUAUGGGAGAGGAUGGUAGAAUUCCAGGUGUAGCGGUGAAAUGCGUAGAGAUCUGGAGGAAUACCGAUGGCGAAGGCAGCCAUCUGGCCUAAUACUGACGCUGAGGUACGAAAGCAUGGGGAGCAAACAGGAUUAGAUACCCUGGUAGUCCAUGCCGUAAACGAUGUCUACUAGCCGUUGGGGCCUUUGAGGCUUUAGUGGCGCAGCUAACGCGAUAAGUAGACCGCCUGGGGAGUACGGUCGCAAGACUAAAACUCAAAUGAAUUGACGGGGGCCCGCACAAGCGGUGGAGCAUGUGGUUUAAUUCGAUGCAACGCGAAGAACCUUACCUGGCCUUGACAUACUAGAAACUUUCCAGAGAUGGAUUGGUGCCUUCGGGAAUCUAGAUACAGGUGCUGCAUGGCUGUCGUCAGCUCGUGUCGUGAGAUGUUGGGUUAAGUCCCGCAACGAGCGCAACCCUUUUCCUUACUUGCCAGCAUUUCGGAUGGGAACUUUAAGGAUACUGCCAGUGACAAACUGGAGGAAGGCGGGGACGACGUCAAGUCAUCAUGGCCCUUACGGCCAGGGCUACACACGUGCUACAAUGGUCGGUACAAAGGGUUGCUACACAGCGAUGUGAUGCUAAUCUCAAAAAGCCGAUCGUAGUCCGGAUUGGAGUCUGCAACUCGACUCCAUGAAGUCGGAAUCGCU